UACGUAAGGGGCAAGCGUUGUCCGGAAUCAUUGGGCGUAAAGAGCGUGUAGGCGGCUUGGUAAGUCCGCUGUGAAAGUCCAGGGCUCAACCCUGGAAAGCCAGUGGAAACUGUCAAGCUAGAGUCCGGAAGAGGCGAGUGGAAUUCCUGGUGUAGCGGUGAAAUGCGCAGAUAUCAGGAGGAACACCAAUGGCGAAGGCAGCUCGCUGGGCCGUAACUGACGCUGAGGAGCGAAAGCAUGGGGAGCGAACAGG
rnacentral:rRNA from 1 species